AUUGAACGCUGGCGGCAGGCCUAACACAUGCAAGUCGAGCGAGAAAGGUCUUCGGACUGAGUACAGCGGCGGACGGGUGAGUAAUGCGCAGGAAUCUACCUGGGUAGUGGGGGAUAACUCGGGGAAACUCGAACUAAUACCGCAUACGCCCUACGGGGGAAAGCGGGGGACCUUCGGGCCUCGGCGCUAUCAGAUGAGCCUGCGUAGGAUUAGCUUGUUGGUGAGGUAAAGGCUCGACCAAGGCGACGAUCCUUAGCUGGUCUGAGAGGAUGAUCAGCCACACUGGAACUGAGACACGGUCCAGACUCCUACGGGAGGCAGCAGUGGGGAAUAUUGCGCAAUGGGCGAAAGCCUGACGCAGCCAUGCCGCGUGUGUGAAG
rnacentral:rRNA from 1 species